CAGCUACUCCCUCCGUCCGGAAUUACUUGUCGCAUAAAUGUAUAAAAAUAAAUGUACCUAGAACUAAAAUACGUCUAGAUACAUUCAUUCCUAUAACAAGUAUUUUCGGACGGAGGGAGUACAAA
rfam:Hordeum vulgare subsp. vulgare, WGS project CAJW01000000 data, contig: morex_contig_49708